CCGCCUGAUUAGUGGCGAACGGGUGAGUAACACGUGAGUAACCUGCCCUCCACUUCGGGAUAACCUCGGGAAAUCGUGGCUAAUACCGGAUAUGAGCACUCAUCGCAUGGUGGGUGUUGGAAAGAUUUAUCGGUGGGGGAUGGACUCGCGGCCUAUCAGUUUGUUGGUGAGGUGAUGGCUCACCAAGACGAUGACGGGUAGCCGGCCUGAGAGGGCGACCGGCCACACUGGGACUGAGACACGGCCCAGACUCCUACGGGAGGCAGCAGUGGGGAAUAUUGCACAAUGGGCGAAAGCCUGAUGCAGCGACGCCGCGUGGGGGAUGACGGCCUUCGGGUUGUAAACCCCUUUCAGUAGGGAAGAAGCGAGAGUGACGGUACCUGCAGAAGAAGCGCCGGCUAACUACGUGCCAGCAGCCGCGGUAAUACGUAGGGCGCAAGCGUUGUCCGGAAUUAUUGGGCGUAAAGAGCUUGUAGGUGGCUUGUCGCGUCUGCCGUGAAAACCCGAGGCUCAACCUCGGGCGUGCGGUGGGUACGGGCAGGCUAGAGUGUGGUAGGGGAGACUGGAACUCCUGGUGUAGCGGUGAAAUGCGCAGAUAUCAGGAAGAACACCGAUGGCGAAGGCAGGUCUCUGGGCCAUUACUGACACUG
rnacentral:rRNA from 1 species